rnacentral:rRNA from 1 species
GAACGCUGGCGGCGUGCCUAAUACAUGCAAGUCGAGCGAACGGACGAGAAGCUUGCUUCUCUGAUGUUAGCGGCGGACGGGUGAGUAACACGUGGAUAACCUACCUAUAAGACUGGGAUAACUUCGGGAAACCGGAGCUAAUACCGGAUAAUAUUUUGAACCGCAUGGUUCAAAAGUGAAAGACGGUCUUGCUGUCACUUAUAGAUGGAUCCGCGCUGCAUUAGCUAGUUGGUAAGGUAACGGCUUACCAAGGCAACGAUGCAUAGCCGAGCUGAGAGGGUGAUCGGCCACACUGGAACUGAGACACGGUCCAGACUCCUACGGGAGGCAGCAGUAGGGAAUCUUCCGCAAUGGGCGAAAGCCUGACGGAGCAACGCCGCGUGAGUGAUGAAGGUCUUCGGAUCGUAAAACUCUGUUAUUAGGGAAGAACAUAUGUGUAAGUAACUGUGCACAUCUUGACGGUACCUAAUCAGAAAGCCACGGCUAACUACGUG